rnacentral:rRNA from 1 species
GCUGGUUGCCCGUGAACGAAUAUAAGUUCUCCCUUAAUUUUACCCCUCAGACUCCACUACUCACUCGUAGCAAAUUAAGAGUAAUUUAAAGGAGGUACAGCUCCUUUAAAACAGAACACAACCUUUCCCAGAGGAUAAGCCAAAUAACUCUAAACUUUGUAGGCCUUUAAGCAGCCACCAACAAAGAAUGCGUCAAAGCUCACCGUACUAAAAAAUAAUAAACCUCAUGCGACUCCCUCAUCCAUAACGGGCUAACCUAUUAAAAUAGGAGCAUCAAUGCUAAAAUAAGUAACUAAGGAGCCACCUUCUAAAGCACAAACUUACAUCCUACAUUAUUAACAGAUCUAUUAAUAACCUAACCAUCACAAGACCAACUAUUAAAUACUCUGUUAAACCAACCCAGGAGUGCUUAAAUAGAAAGAUUUAAACCUGUAAAAGGAACUAGGCAAACCCAAGGCCCGACUGUUUACCAAAAACAUAGCCUUCAGCAAAACACCAAGUAUUGAAGGUGACGCCUGCCCAGUGACACUAAGUUUAACGGCCGCGGUAUCCUAACCGUGCAAAGGUAGCGCAAUCAAUUGUCUCAUAAAUCGAGACUUGUAUGAAUGGCCAAACGAGGUCUUAACUGUCUCUUACAGGUAAUCAGUGAAAUUGAUCUCCCCGUGCAAAAGCAGGGAUAAAUCCAUAAGACGAGAAGACCCUGUGGAACUUAAAAACCAGCAGCCACUCCACAAACAAACAAAGCCCAACGGGCCUACUACUAAUAGAGAAUUGACUUGCAUUUUUCGGUUGGGGCGACCUUGGAGAAAAACACAUCCUCCAAAAAUAAGACCAUCCCUCUUAACCAAGAUUAACUACUCAAAGUGCUAACAGCAACCAGACCCAGCAUAGCUGAUCAAUGAACCAAGCUACCCCAGGGAUAACAGCGCAAUCCCCUUCAAGAGCCCAUAUCGACAGGGGGGUUUAC